rnacentral:rRNA from 1 species
GGGGGGGGGGGGCGGCGGGGGUGGGGGGGGCGGGGCGGGCGGGGGGGCCCGGCGUGGGGGGGGUGCUCGGGGGGCGGGCGGGGGCGUAACACGUGGGUAACCUGCCCUUGACUUUGGGAUAACUUCAGGAAACUGGGGCUCAUACCGGAUAGGAGCUCCUGCUGCAUGGGGGGGGUUGGAAAGUUUCGGCGGUUGGGGAUGGACUCGCGGCUUAUCCGCUUGUUGGGGGGGUAGUGGCUUACCAAGGCUUUGACGGGUCGCCGGCCUGAGAGGGUGACCGGCCACAUUGGGACUGAGAUACGGCACAGACUCCUACGGGAGGCAGCAGUGGGGAAUAUUGCACAAUGGGCGGAAGCCUGAUGCAGCAACGCCGCGUGCGGGAUGACGGCCUUCGGGUUGUAAACCGCUUUCGCCUGUGACGAAGCGUGAGUGACGGUAAUGGGUAAAGAAGCACCGGCUAACUACGUG